GUGGUAUGUAUAAUAGCUUAACCAGAGCUGAUCACCUGUUUACAAUAGACCAUACAAUACCAACAUAUGAGUUGCUAUGUCAGAAGUGGUGUAGCAUCACCAGGUAAAGAAAGGUAACAUGGAGGUAUUUGUGAGCAUGUGCUGAGCUGGAGAAAGUUACAUAACAAUUUCUCUUGUUAGCUCACUAAUGAUUAACAGAUAGAUGAAUGAAAUCUGGAGCAUUUAUUUAGGGUGGAGCUUAGCAGGUCUGAGAAAAUUAUUGUAAAAUAUUUAAAAAUCUAUGAAAUAUAUUUAAAACAAAUUAUGAGUUGUAUGCAGCCCUGCACAUAAACAUAAACCAACUUAUAUUUGGAUGUCACCUGACCCCAUAAGGUUUGCCUCAGUACCAAAUGUUUAAAUUAGACUCCUGAUAUACAUGUGUGUACAUGUACAGGUCUAUGGCUAUGCACAAUGGUAAACCAGUAACAAUGAAUGGAAUCCUUGUACAUAUUACAAUUUUGAACAGAUUAAAACAAGUCUGUCAUUAAUUAGUACUUAAAGAUUUGUGUAAUGUACACAUUAAGCAUCCUUAGUGAUGGUGCCCAUAUAGACUACUGAACUAAUUCUUAAACAACACAUGGAUAAAUAAUAAAAUAUUAUGUAAUGCACAUGCAAAUAAACAUUCAAGAUGCAUUUCUAAAAUAAAAAUAAAUGAUUGUUUUUAGUGUCCAAGCUCAGAUAUAUGUAUUAACAUUGUUCUGUCCAGUACAAACCGCUAAUUUCCUAUUUUCUUCUCCAAUUACAGGAUCAAUGUGAGUGAUUAUGUGGCCAUAUAUUUUGAUGCACCUUCAUCUAACAGCAGGACUACAAAUGGGAUGGUUUUCAUGGCUCUUGUAAAAGCAGUGAUUGAUGACAAUGUCAAAGUCAAAUUCAUACGCCGGAACAGCAAUGGUCUGUAUGAAUUUACAGAGGACUGUGAAGCCCAUCAGCCUAAAAGAUGUUAUACAGAAGAUGACUCUACCAACCAGGACCCCAGCCGACAUAGCUUACCUUUAUAAUUUUUAAGAACGAGAACUGGACAUGUUGGCAGACAAAUUUCUUCGAAAUAAGAAGUCGAACACAAUUGUGUUCUAGGACAAAAACCUGUAAAUACUUACCAUGCUAUUGGUUUCAAAUAUAUGAAUGUCUGUGUAAAUGUUAUAACACAUACCAAACAAGUUUGUGGAAGCCACUGUGCAAAAAUGUAAUUCUUUACACUGAGAAUAAAUGAUGACAAAGAAGCAAGUGAAGGGUAAUGAUACAUUGCUAUGAAUUAACAUAAAUGGUUUCUAUGUGAACAAUUAUUUUAAGUACUUUACUUUCAGUUCAACAUUUUAUCAAAACUUCAAAAGUAAGUUUAAAUUUCGCCUUGUAUAUUGCCUUUGUAGUUGACGAUAUAGUGUGUUAACAUGUUUGAAGUCUCCGAAACACUACUUUGAACUGAUCCUAUACAUGUAUAUGUUCCCAGAAUGUUUCAACUUUGAUAUGAGAAAAGUGGUUUCCCUUGAAAUUACAUACUGGACAAUAUAUUUCAGCACAGAUCAGCACAGAUUUGAAAUCCUCAUGGAUUCUAUUAAAUGACUUUGCAAUGUUUG